UAGGGAAUCUUCCGCAAUGGGCGAAAGCCUGACGGAGCAACGCCGCGUGAGUGAUGAAGGUCUUCGGAUCGUAAAACUCUGUUAUUAGGGAAGAACAAAUGUGUAAGUAACUAUGCACGUCUUGACGGUACCUAAUCAGAAAGCCACGGCUAACUACGUGCCAGCAGCCGCGGUAAUACGUAGGUGGCAAGCGUUAUCCGGAAUUAUUGGGCGUAAAGCGCGCGUAGGCGGUUUUUUAAGUCUGAUGUGAAAGCCCACGGCUCAACCGUGGAGGGUCAUUGGAAACUGGAAAACUUGAGUGCAGAAGAGGAAAGUGGAAUUCCACGUGUAGCAGUGAAAUGCGCAGAGAUAUGGAGGAACACCAGUGGCGAAGGCGACUUUCUGGUCUGUAACUGACGCUGAUGUGCGAAAGCGUGGGGAUCAAACAGG
rnacentral:rRNA from 1 species